UCCCAGGGAGAGAAACAGUCACAUAUCCAAUCUCUCUUCCUAGUUCCAGGGCCUGUGAACCCAGUGGGGCUGGCUAGGGGAGAGCUGGGAAGUUCCAGAAGGAACUGAGAGAU